GACGAACGCUGGCGGCGUGCUUAACACAUGCAAGUCGAACGGUAAGGCCCUUCGGGGUACACGAGUGGCGAACGGGUGAGUAACACGUGGGUGAUCUGCCCUGCACUUCGGGAUAAGCCUGGGAAACUGGGUCUAAUACCGGAUAGGACCACUGCCUGCAUGGGUGGUGGUGGAAAGCUUUUGCGGUGUGGGAUGGGCCCGCGGCCUAUCAGCUUGUUGGUGGGGUGAUGGCCUACCAAGGCGACGACGGGUAGCCGGCCUGGGAGGGUGACCGGCCACACUGGGACUGAGGUACGGCCCAGACUCCUACGGGAGGCAGCAGUGGGGAAUAUUGCACAAUGGGCGCAAGCCUGAUGCAGCGACGCCGCGUGAGGGAUGACGGCCUUCGGGUUGUAAACCUCUUUCAGCACCGACGAAGCGCAAGUGACGGUAGGUGCAGAAGAAGGACCGGCCAACUACGUGCCAGCAGCCGCGGUAA
rnacentral:rRNA from 1 species